UCCUCAGUAGCUCAGUGGUAGAGCAAUCGGCUGUUAACCGAUUGGCCGUUGGUUCAAAUCCAACCUGGGGAG
rnacentral:tRNA from 1 species